UACGUAGGGUGCGAGCGUUGUCCGGAAUUAUUGGGCGUAAAGAGCUCGUAGGCGGUUUGUUGCGUCGGCUGUGAAAACCCAGGGCUCAACUCUGGGCUUGCAGCCGAUACGGGCAGACUAGAGUUCGGCAGGGGAGACUGGAAUUCCUGGUGUAGCGGUGAAAUGCGCAGAUAUCAGGAGGAACACCGGUGGCGAAGGCGGGUCUCUGGGCAACUACUGACGCUGAGGAACGAAAGCGUGGGGAGCGAACAGG
rnacentral:rRNA from 1 species